CUGACAGCCCUGGAGAGUGAUGUCCUCUGUUCAUCCUCAGAAGAGUUACAGCACAGGCAGUGGUUGUGCCAGCUUCCUCCACCUAAUGAACCCAUUGCCCGACCAAGGAACCACAACUUCAUUCUAGAGUGAGAGUACUCUCUGGCCUCCAUGACUCAGUCAGUCCUUGGCCGCU
rnacentral:sRNA from 1 species